rnacentral:lncRNA from 1 species
GGUGAAACGGGCCGUCCCCAUACCCCGUCCGGUAUGGGCGCCAAAACCAUAAACCUCAAUACCCCGUCCGGUAUGAGGGUGAAACGGGCCGUCCCCAUACCCCGUCCGGUAUGGACGCCAAAACCAUAAGAUCUCGAUACCCCGUCCGGCAUGUGAGACCACAAUCCCGGUAGGGUUCCCUACGGACCCGGUCCGUCCACCAUCUCCCAGGAUAUCUAGUCAGGCUGACCCCCAUAAUACAAUUAUCAGUCUACACAAUCUUUCAUUUUCCUUUUCCUCAGUUAGCAUCAUCAAUUCACAUACAAACAAGCAAAACAGUAAUUCAUGCCAAACAGACAACAUACAGUAUCAGUUUUUUCAGUCAUUCAACCCAUGAUUAAUAAAAACGUAGUAUAUGCACACAAAUCUGUAAAAUGAACACAUCAAACCUCAUUUUGCAUUUAAAGCUGUAAACAGGCCAAAUAACAGUAAAUCACCAAUCACACUAGACUCGGGCUCCAUUAGCCACCUUAAGCAAUUUCACACAUUCGUUAAUUCAAGAAAUACCGUUUUAUCAUUUUGAACUUUAAUACCGUGAUAGGAAAUAGGGUGAGGGGUCCUUACUUGUUUUCGGGAUCCGAAUACGAUUCACAGUGCGCCUGCAGGCUGUCCCUAAUUUUCCCUGAAUUUUUCCCGGGGAACUGAAACACACUAACAGUACCUGCACGUGUUCCAAAAAAAAUCCAUAUUAGGCCCAGGGCCUCUUUCGGCCCAAAUCGCAACUCCGGCACGGCGGCUCCGCCGUGCUCCGGCGACGGCGCCGCCGCUGGCGGCGGCGAGUCGCCUC